GAUGAACGCUGGCGGCGUGCCUAAUACAUGCAAGUCGAGCGAACAGACGAGGAGCUUGCUCCUCUGACGUUAGCGGCGGACGGGUGAGUAACACGUGGAUAACCUACCUAUAAGACUGGGAUAACUUCGGGAAACCGGAGCUAAUACCGGAUAAUAUAUUGAACCGCAUGGUUCAAUAGUGAAAGACGGUUUUGCUGUCACUUAUAGAUGGAUCCGCGCCGCAUUAGCUAGUUGGUAAGGUAACGGCUUACCAAGGCAACGAUGCGUAGCCGACCUGAGAGGGUGAUCGGCCACACUGGAACUGAGACACGGUCCAGACUCCUACGGGAGGCAGCAGUAGGGAAUCUUCCGCAAUGGGCGAAAGCCUGACGGAGCAACGCCGCGUGAGUGAUGAAGGUCUUCGGAUCGUAAAACUCUGUUAUUAGGGAAGAACAAAUGUGUAAGUAACUAUGCACGUCUUGACGGUACCUAAUCAGAAAGCCACAGCUAACUGCGUG
rnacentral:rRNA from 1 species